AUAGAGACUCAGAGCUGCAUAUCAAUAAGCGGAGGAAAAGGAACUAACAAGGAUUCCCUUAGUAACGGCGAGUGUAGCGGGAAGAGCUCAAAUUUGAAAUCUUCAAGGUUUUACCUUGACGAAUUGUAGUUUAAAGAAGUGUUUUCUGUUGAAGUUUCGGUAAAAGUUCUUUGGAAUAGGACAUCAUAGAGGGUGAGAAUCCCGUAUUUGACCGUUAUUUUCAGCUGUGUGAUACACUUUCAAAGAGUCGGAUUGUUUGGGAAUGCAGUCCAAAAUGGGUGGUAAAUUUCAUCUAAAGCUAAAUAUUGGCGAGAGACCGAUAGCGAACAAGUACCGUGAGGGAAAGAUGAAAAGAACUUUGAAAAGAGAGUUAAACAGUACGUGAAAUUGUCAAAAGGGAAGCGUUUGACACCAGUGUUGUUUAGUUGAAAAUCAAUUCAAUAGUUUUUGAUUCUAAGUAGUAUUGACUUCAUCAGCUUGCUGCUUUCUUCUCAGAAAUUAUUGAAUGCACUUUUCAGUUAACAAGUCAACAUCAAUUUCUUUUGUUGUAAAAGGGUAAGAGGAAGGUGGCUUGCGCUUCGGCUCAAGUGUUUAUAGCCUUUUAUCUCUGCAAUCGGAGAGAUUGAGGUCUGCAGCGUAGAUCCUUCGGGGUUAGAUACAUUUGUGCUAAGUUAUAGCUUUUCAUAGACAACUUGUUGACUAUGUUAAGUCUUGUAGCUUACUCGCUUAUGCUAUUUUACCUACGCUUAGGAUGUUGACGAGACUGUCGAUCUC
rnacentral:rRNA from 1 species